rnacentral:tRNA from 1 species
GUUGUAGCUCAGCGGUAGAGCACUUUCUUCAUACAUGUGAGACACUAGGUUCGAUUCCUAGUACCACA